UACGUAGGUGGCAAGCGUUGUCCGGAUUUAUUGGGUUUAAAGGGUGCGUAGGCGGCAAAAUAAGUCAGUGGUGAAAGCCGAUCGCUUAACGAUCGAACUGCCAUUGAUACUGCUUUGCUUGAGUGCAGUUGAGGUAGGCGGAAUUGACAGUGUAGCGGUGAAAUGCAUAGAUAUUGUCAAGAACACCAAUUGCGUAGGCAGCUUACUAAAGUGUUACUGACGCUGAGGCACGAAGUGCGGGGAUCAAACAGG
rnacentral:rRNA from 1 species